GAGUGCGAUUCUGGAUGAGUUUUGCAGGUGGAGCUGACAGUCUGCUCUGGAUCUACUUGUGAAUGUGAAGGCAGGAGAGGAGUCAAGGACAAGCCCUCAGAGCCACCAGGAGGAUGGAGCUGCAGAGGCCAUGCCAAAAGUGCGUCCUCGGCCGCCUGGUGGGCCUCCUACAUCGACGGACUGAGCCAAGAUGUCCUGAGUGCCUACUGUGCACCAAGCACUGCCUGACCAGUAAACAGAAUGCCCCUGCCGGCCUGAAGCACACCAGGAGUGGGAGCAAGAGGUGGGUCCACGAGGACAGCGGGAAUGGGAC